rnacentral:tRNA from 1 species
CAAAGUAAAGCUUAGAUUAAGCAUUUCACUUACACUGAAAAGAAGCCGUGUAACCCGGUGUAUUUUGA